GACGAACGCUGGCGGCGUGCCUAAUACAUGCAAGUAGAACGCUGAAGAGAGGAGCUUGCUCUUCUUGGAUGAGUUGCGAACGGGUGAGUAACGCGUAGGUAACAUGACUUGUAGCGGGGGAUAACUAUAGGAAACGAUAGCUAAUACCGCAUAACAAUGGAUGACACAUGUCAUUUAUUUGAAAGGGGCAAUUGCUCCACUACAAGAUGGACCUACGUUGUAUUAGCUAGUAGGUGAGGUAAUGGCUCACCUAGGCGACGAUACAUAGCCGACCUGAGAGGGUGAGCGGCCACGCUGGGACUGGGACACGGCCAGCAACCCUAGGGGAGACAGCAGGAGGGAAUCUUCGGGGGUGGGGGCAGCCCUGACCGAUCAACGCCGCGUGAGUGAAUAAUGCUUUCGGAUCGUAAGGCUCUGUUGUGAGCCAAGAUCGGGUGUGAGUGUUGAAAGUGCACACUGUGACGGUAGCGUACGAGAAAGGGACGGCUAACUACGUG
rnacentral:rRNA from 1 species